GACGAACGCUGGCGGCGUGCUUAACACAUGCAAGUCGAGCGGUAAGGCCCUUUCGGGGGUACACGAGCGGCGAACGGGUGAGUAACACGUGGGUGACCUGCCCUUAGCUCUGGGAUAAGCCUGGGAAACUGGGUCUAAUACCGGAUAUGACUCCAUGACGCAUGUUGUGGGGUGGAAAGCCUUGUGCGGCUAGGGGAUGGGGCCCGCGGCCUAUCAGCUUGUUGGUGGGGUGAUGGCCUACCAAGGCGACGACGGGUAGCCGGCCUGAGAGGGCGACCGGCCAUACUGGGACUGAGACACGGCCCAGACUCCUACGGGAGGCAGCAGUGGGGAAUCUUGCGCAAUGGGCGAAAGCCUGACGCAGCGACGCCGCGUGGGGAUGACGGCCU
rnacentral:rRNA from 1 species